UUUGAGCAUCACUUCUCCUCUGGAGACACCUGUGGCCUUUCUCUCCCUUGGGCCUUUCUCCAGGACUGGGAUGGGAAACGGUGGGACCACGCUCACUGGGGGGCUCCUCUCCCCCCCCUCCUGUUCCCCACCCACCAUCCACAGGCCCCUGCAUCUGCCUCUUCCCAGAAAGAAUGCACGCCCCACGUUCAAGGCAAUAGCGAGCAGCAGGACUGUACUGAAGGGAACGUGGAUUUCAUUGCCAAGUUCUACAACCUACCCUCUCACUCUACAGAGGAAGUGCCCAUUCUGAAAAAGACUUUCGAAAUCAGAAACUUCCUGAAGUGUGUACAUACAUGGAUCCUUUGACCAGCAGAAGGGAGUCUGGCAAAGUUGCUGAGGCUGGCUUCAAAUCUAUGAUCCUCCUGCAUCAGUCUACUGAGUUGUUGGGACUACAAGUAUGUGCUACUGUGCCCCUGUGAACUUGUGGGAAACAAUAGGGCCACACCCUCUGGGCUCCCCUCCUUUGUGUUCAGCCAGGCUCCCUCCUAUUCCCCUCCCAUCAUCAAUAGCCCUGAUGUUGAUGCACUAGAUACUGAUACUGAUGUUUACUACCAACAGAUUGUGUGUGUGUGUGUGUGUGUGUGUGUGUGUGUGUGUGUGUUGGGGUGGAUCCCAGGGCCUCACACAUGGUAAGAAUUUGUUGUGAU